rnacentral:rRNA from 1 species
UUGCCUACGGGAGGCAGCAGUGGGGAAUUUUGCGCAAUGGGCGAAAGCCUGACGCAGCAACGCCGCGUGCGGGAUGAAGGCCUUCGGGUCGUAAACCGCUUUCAGCAGGGAUGAAACUGACAGUACCUGCAGAAGAAGCCCCGGCUAACUACGUGCCAGCAGCCGCGGUAAUACGUAGGGGGCGAGCGUUAUCCGGAUUCAUUGGGCGUAAAGAGCGCGUAGGCGGAUUGUUAAGCGAGAUGUGAAAACUGGGGGCUCAACCCGCAGCCUGCAUCUCGAACUGGCAGUCUUGAGUCUGGUAGAGGAAAGUGGAAUUCCCAGUGUAGCGGUGAAAUGCGCAGAUAUUGGGAGGAACACCAGUGGCGAAGGCGGCUUUCUGGGCCACGACUGACGCUGAGGCGCGAAAGCUAGGGGAGCGAACAGGAUUAGAUACCCUUGUAGUCGUA